rnacentral:tRNA from 1 species
GGAGCUGUAGUUCAGUGCUAGAAUAUUUGCUCAGCAUGCAGGUGGUCCUAUGUUCAAUCCUUGGCAUCUUCA